GUUUUUAUGGUGUAAUAGGCACGAAAGAUUUUCAAUUUUUAGGAAUAAAUUUUAGUAAUUUAUUGAGAAUA
rnacentral:tRNA from 1 species